GACGAACGCUGGCGGCGUGCCUAAUACAUGCAAGUCGAGCGAAUCGAUGGGAGCUUGCUCCCUGAGAUUAGCGGCGGACGGGUGAGUAACACGUGGGUAACCUGCCUGUAAGACUGGGAUAACUUCGGGAAACCGGAGCUAAUACCGGAUACUUUCUUUUCUCGCAUGAGGGAAGAUGGAAAGAUGGUUUUGCUAUCAAUUACAGAUGGACCCGCGGCGCAUUAGCUAGUUGGUGAGGUAACGGCUCACCAAGGCAACGAUGCGUAGCCGACCUGAGAGGGUGAUCGGCCACACUGGGACUGAGACACGGCCCAGACUCCUACGGGAGGCAGCAGUAGGGAAUCUUCCGCAAUGGACGAAAGUCUGACGGAGCAACGCCGCGUGAGCGAAGAAGGCCUUCGGGUCGUAAAGCUCUGUUGUUAGGGAAGAACAAGUACGAGAGUAACUGCUCGUACCUUGACGGUACCUAACCAGAAAGCCACGGCUAACUACGUGCCAGCCGCCGCAGUAA
rnacentral:rRNA from 1 species